rnacentral:rRNA from 1 species
GACGAACGCUGGCGGCGUGCUUAACACAUGCAAGUCGAACGGAAAGGCCCUGCUUUUGUGGGGUGCUCGAGUGGCGAACGGGUGAGUAACACGUGAGUAACCUGCCCUUGACUUUGGGAUAACUUCAGGAAACUGGGGCUAAUACCGGAUAGGAGCUCCUGCUGCAUGGUGGGGGUUGGAAAGUUUCGGCGGUUGGGGAUGGACUCGCGGCUUAUCAGCUUGUUGGUGGGGUAGUGGCUUACCAAGGCUUUGACGGGUAGCCGGCCUGGGAGGGUGACCGGCCACAUUGGGACUGAGAUACGGCCCAGACUCCUACGGGAGGCAGCAGUGGGGAAUAUUGCACAAUGGGCGGAAGCCUGAUGCAGCACCGCCGCGUGCGGGACGACGGCCUUCGGGUUGUAUACCGCUUUCGCCUGUGACGAAGCGUGAGUGACGGUAAUGGGUAAAGAAGCACCGGCUAACUACGUG